rnacentral:rRNA from 1 species
CCUACGGGUGGCAGCAGUGAGGAAUAUUGGUCAAUGGCCGUAAGGCUGAACCAGCCAAGUCGCGUGAGGGAAGACUGCCCUAUGGGUUGUAAACCUCUUUUAUGCGGGGAUAAAGGUGUCCACGUGUGGAUGUUUGCAGGUACCGCAUGAAUCAGGACCGGCUAAUUCCGUGCCAGCAGCCGCGGUAAUACGGAAGGUCCGGGCGUUAUCCGGAUUUAUUGGGUUUAAAGGGAGCGUAGGCCGGUCUUUAAGCGUGCCGUGAAAUUUCGGGGCUCAACCAGGCGAGGGCGGGGGGACAUGGAGACCUUGAGGGCGCGGAAGGCAGGCGGAAUUCGUGGUGUAGCGGUGAA